rnacentral:lncRNA from 1 species
UUUGACACUCGACACAGAUGGUCUUUGCCGAGUGCCAAGGGUAUGGCAGUCGGCAAAGAAUUUUUUUUGUUUUUUGUCUCCAAAUUUUUUUCUACUAACUUUACACUUUAUUUUGAAGCCUAAGUUAAAAUUUGACACAAUUCUCGAUAUAUUUCAUAUAUAUAUUUAAUUUAUUUCAUUUAAACGUAUUUCUUCCGAAAAUACAAUAGUGAACUACAGGUGC